UGGGGACGGGGAUAGACAUAUGG
rnacentral:piRNA from 1 species